rnacentral:rRNA from 1 species
AUACGGAGGGUGCAAGCGUUAAUCGGAAUUACUGGGCGUAAAGCGUACGUAGGCGGUUCGUUAAGUUAGAUGUGAAAGCCCCGGGCUUAACCUGGGAACUGCAUUUAAAACUGGCGAACUAGAGUUGAGUAGAGGGGAGUGGAAUUUCAGGUGUAGCGGUGAAAUGCGUAGAGAUCUGAAGGAACACCAGUGGCGAAGGCGACUCCCUGGACUCGAACUGACGCUGAGGUACGAAAGCGUGGGUAGCAAACGGGAUUAGAUACCCGAGUAGUCC